ACUCAAAUGAAUUGACGGGGGCCCGCACAAGCGGUGGAUCAUGUGGUUUAAUUCGAAGCAACGCGAAGAACCUUACCUGGGUUUGACAUCCUCGGACCGCUGUAGAGAUACAGUUUUUGUAGCAAUACAACCGAGAGACAGGUGCUGCAUGGCUGUCGUCAGCUCGUGUGGUGACAUGUUGGGUUAAGUCCCGCAACGAGCGCAACCCUUGUCCUUAGUUGCCAGCAUUCAGUUGGGCACUCUAAGGAGACUGCCGUGGUUAACACGGAGGAAGGUGGGGAUGACGUCAAGUCCUCAUGGCCUUUAUGUCCAGGGCGACACACGUGAUACAAUGGGUGGUACAGAGGGAAGCGAAGUGGUGACACGGAGCCAAUCUCAAAAAGCCACUCUCAGUUCGGAUUGGAGUCUGCAACUCGACUCCAUGAAGUUGGAAUCGCUAGUAAUCGCGGAUCAGCACGCCGCGGUGAAUACGUUCCCGGGCCUUGCACACACCGCCCGU
rnacentral:rRNA from 1 species